GACGAACGCUGGCGGCGUGCUUAACACAUGCAAGUCGAACGGAAAGGCCCUGCUUUUGUGGGGUGCUCGAGUGGCGAACGGGUGAGUAACACGUGAGUAACCUGCCCUUGACUUUGGGAUAACUUCAGGAAACUGGGGCUAAUACCGGAUAGGAGCUCCUGCUGCAUGGUGGGGGUUGGAAAGUUUCGGCGGUUGGGGAUGGACUCGCGGCUUAUCAGCUUGUUGGUGGGGUAGUGGCUUACCAAGGCUUUGACGGGUAGCCGGCCUGAGAGGGUGACCGGCCACAUUGGUACUGAGAUACGGCCCAGACUCCUACGGGAGGCAGCAGUGGGGAAUAUUGCACAAUGGGCGGAAGCCUGAUGCAGCAACGCCGCGUGCGGGAUGACGGCCUUCGGGUUGUAAACCGCUUUCGCCUGUGACGAAGCGUGAGUGACGGUAAUGGGUAAAGAAGCACCGGCUAACUACGUG
rnacentral:rRNA from 1 species